rnacentral:rRNA from 1 species
CUCUUUGGCCACACCACCCUGGAGACCACCUGAUCUUGUCUGACCUCAGAAGCUAAUCAGGGUGGAGCCUGGUUAGUACCUGGAAGGGAAAAGGA